rnacentral:misc_RNA from 1 species
GGCAGAAAUGCUAAUGUAAAUAAUCUUUUUUCUGAACUGGGUAGCAGAAGCUUUACAAAAAAAUUGUCGUCUAUCAUAUAAACAGAGAGAUACAAAAUAUUACAGCCAUGACAAGUACAGUAAAGCUAAGACUGUGUCAGACCUUUAUAAGUUAAUAUACAUACAUGUGGUAAUCCCAGUUGUCUUACUUUCACCUUCUACGUACAAAUUUUUUUUUUUUACAUUUUCAGAUCAAAAAAUUCUAAGUGGUUGUUGGGGUUUUCAGAAGCUUCAUCAUGAAGUUGAAUUUCAUAUCUGGAGAGGUCCUGGGCUGGGGCCAGUUUGCUCCUUCUGGUACCUUAAUACAUUUGAAACCUUGGCCUUUGUAUAGUUUUGUAGCCCCAGGAUUGUUCAGAUCACAAUGCAAUGCAAUGGCGCGACAGCCCCAGCUCCUGGCCUGAGCCUCUGCUUUUGCUAUAAGUCUCUUAGCUAUCCCCUUCCGUCGAUAUCUCUCCCGAACUGCAACGUUUGAUAUAUAUGCAAUUCCAGUCCUGGAAACAACAUGCAAGUGCCAUUGGAAAGGAUAUAAUUUCAGCAACUCAUUAAAUGAUGCAAUUACUAUUAAAUAUAAGAAUAUAGGAACUGCUAAAUGCAUAUAAAAAAUCCAGUAUGUCUCAUGACCUAAGUAUUGCAUAGCGUGGAUUUGAAUUUAAAUAAGGAAUGACUAAAAUGCAAAUAAAAUAUGAAUCACAUAUUGACAGUGUGUCAGAUAGGUUUGGAUUUUCUUUACUUAUCCAUCAGUUCAGAAAGAUAACAAAGGAAAAUUAUAGAAACCUUGCCAAGUUAAUAUUAAACUGCUAGUUAGUCCUGCGUCUGUCUGAUAAAUUUUAGUUGAUUUUGUUACAGAAAGUUACUAAAUUUACCUAAGGUUGAAAACAAAAAUUAAUUCCGCAAAUUACACACUCUUUCUGAAAGCAAUUGCCGACCCAUCUCUAGAUUCUCUUGCUUCCCUCCUCUAUUCCCCUUCCAUUAUCUUAUUUUUGCUGGUUCCUCCCAUCUUCAGUACCAAACUGUCUUAUCCACAGUUACAACCCAUGGCCACAUAAACCUUACCAGUUACCAGUCUGCAUUAACCUAGAUCCAUAAUACCUUUUCUCUUUGGUUCCCAUUUAUCACCGAUAGCAAAUUCCAUAAUCUUCAGAAGUAUCCGAAGUAUCAGGCAAUGGAAAAUCUAAAUAGGAAAAAUGAUGGAGACCAGUGAGAUUCUCCAAUUUUGAGAUCUUUUUUUCCAAAAAAACCAUGUGUAAUGAAGCAAAGUCGGAAAUUCUGGCUUGAAAGUGGAGGAGGGAGUGAAGAUAGUGCAACCAUUGGGCAUCCUGUAAUGUAAAACUUCAUUUUCUAUUUUUCUCCUAGAAUGGCAAAAGCUGCUGGAGACUAUCUAUGCCAAUUACCAAAACAUUCAAAACAAAGUUUGGCCGCAUUUUGCACUCUCUCUCUGUCUCUCUCUGCUCCAGAUUGAAAG